GUGGCACUUGCUAUUUUCACUCCCAUUUUAUACUAAUAUACUACCUCUUUUCUUUUCCUCUUUUUACCCAUACAAAAUGUACUCCCCUUUUUCUUUCUCCCCAAUUUAAUUAAUUUCUGGAAUAUAACUCUUCUAGAAUAACACACUCCCCUUCCACCCACUCAACAUCCAGCAACCUGUUCUGGGAGAAAAACCCAUCACUGACAAACCCGUCGUGGUAGGGACACCGGAACCCGAGCUUUCUGUCAAUCGAUGACUCAAUUGUGGUGCACUUUGUGUGAUCGAAUCAUAGACAUGCAUCAAUCUCUUCAAAAUCAACAAAUUCAAACAAACAUGGAAGAUUGAGCUUGAGAGCUUCGUGGGAACAAUCUCUUAGACUGAAAGACCAAUUUUCCCACAUACCAGAUUUAAUUUUGCCUACCCCUUUCUUUCUCUCUUCAUUGAAGUCAAAUAACGCGAUGCAAAGGGAGAUUUUCUCUUAGCAUUAGGCUUAUACCCCGAGUUUCUCCAUCAAAUCCAUCAAUUUAUUAGCAUCCCAGGCACGCCUUGAGUAACAAGAAACUGGAUCCUAAUACUGAAAGUGGCUAAUUGGGGCAUACAACCCUUCACCUGGCACCCUGCGUCCCUGCCUCCCCCAGCAAACCCUAGCCGCCAUCAAGCCUCCAUAACCACCGUGCACCCAACACCACGUGCCAUUUCAGGAUGACAUCUCCACUAGUGAGGACUGGUGGAAAACCCUUAAUAAAUUUGGGGAGUGUGUUUUUUUCAGAAGAGUUAUAUGAGAGGAAGAAAGAGGGAAGUGUGUGUCUA
rnacentral:lncRNA from 1 species